rnacentral:rRNA from 1 species
CCUACGGGUGGCUGCAGUGGGGAAUAUUGGGCAAUGGGGGAAACCCUGACCCAGCAACGCCGCGUGAGGGAAGAAGGUUUUCGGAUUGUAAACCUCUGUUCUUGGUGAAGAGAAGAAGACGGUAGCCAAGGAGGAAGCCCCGGCUAACUACGUGCCAGCAGCCGCGGUAAUACGUAGGGGGCGAGCGUUGUCCGGAAUGAUUGGGCGUAAAGGGCGCGUAGGCGGCCCUGCAAGUCAGUAGUGGAAGUCCAUUUUUCAAGGGUGGAAGUGCUAUUGAAACUGCGGGGCUUGAGUAUGGGAGAGGUCAUCGGAAUUCCCGGUGUAGCGGUGAAAUGCGUAGAGAUCGGGAGGAACACCAGUGGCGAAGGCGGGUGACUGGACCAUAACUGACGCUGAGGCGCGAAAGUGUGGGGAGCAAACAGGAUUAGAUACCCCAGUAGUC